GCUGUUGGCCACUUUGUUCUGUUCCUGUUUAUCUACUUGUUCUUGAUCUUGCCCGAGUUUGGCUUGAAUUUUGUUCUGUUGUUGGUCUCGUGUUUUUUUCGGGACGAAAUCAUUACCCAAAAUGUCGAAGAUUUCAAGUCUUCCGGUGCGGAAUCUCUCAUCUGACGGCGCUGAUGAGAUCAUGUAGCAUUUGGUCUCGUUCGUCUUCUAGGGCUUCGACCCAACUGGAAAAUCCACAAUCUUCAGCAACGAUGGCGUCAAAGUAUUCUAUGUCCAGCCACAACGCAUUCUUCAGCGGCUUCUCUAACGAAUAUGCCUCCCGGGUGCAGCCUUAGAGUUUCUUUUACGAUGGCUUGAAGUUCGGCUAUCGCCCACUCUACGGUGUUGGCUGAUGUGUCUGUUCCCCCGCCGUAUAUGUUCUGCCAAACAAUACAUGAAUGAAUUCAGAGGCAAGUUCUUGCUGUAAAGUCCUCGGUUGCGGUCUGUUAUUCUCUGCAGAAGGAGCUUCAGUUUUCGUCUUUGAAUGGAU